CUGGCGGCACGCCUAACACAUGCAAGUCGAACGAAGUAGCAAUACUUAGUGGCAGACGGGUGAGUAACAUGUAGGUAUCUGCCCUUUGGCCUGGAAUAACACGAGGAAACUUGUGCUAAUACCGGAUAAGUCUUUACGGAGAAAGCUUUAUGCACCAUUGGAUGAGCCUGCACUUGAUUAGUUUGUUGGUGGGGUAAUGGCCUACCAAGACUGUGAUCAAUAGCUGAUUUGAGAGGAUGAUCAGCCACAUUGGGACUGAGACACGGCCCAAACUCCUACGGGAGGCAGCAGUGGGGAAUCUUGCACAAUGGAGGAAACUCUGAUGCAGCGAUGCCGCGUGAGUGAAGAAGGCCCUUGGGUUGUAAAGCUCUUUCGUCGGGGAAGAAAAUGACUGUACCCGAAUAAGAAGGUCCGGC
rnacentral:rRNA from 1 species